rnacentral:rRNA from 1 species
AUGAGAUUUCCCAUCUUCCUUCGGGAAGAGUAAGACCCCUCAGAGAUGAUGAGGUAGAUAGGUUGGAAGUGGAAGUGCAGUGAUGCAUGGAGCGGACCAAUACUAAUCGGUCGAGGACUUAACCAAG